GAAUAAAAUUACUGAUAGUUAGGCCCAUAUUUUAAGAAGCCAUGAACAAUUUGGUAUGGAUAAAUAAUAUAAUCAGUUGGUUGGCCACUAAUUAACACAUUUAUUAGAGAUAAAUGAGAUUCCAUCUUUUUGUUUGCCAACACAACUCCACCUUUGUUUAUCUCCAAACCCCACAUUUUCUACUUCUCUUUGGUUUGUGGACAAUAAAAUAUCAUUUCAUCUCCACUAUCUUAAAAUCUUAAAAUCAGCAUUAAUUUCUUUUGUCUAGAUUUUCUAAGAGCAUGUUUAUCGGGACAUUUAAAGGAAAGCUUAGAGGAAUCUAAUGAUUUAAUUAAAUGAAAAAUAAUAAGAAAGACAAAAACCGAUGCUUAGCUUAGGUAAUUUGUGAUCGAAUUUAAUGGGGAUUUAAAACACGUGUCACGUAAGCAGUGGACCGUAUUUAAAGAUGCUUUUAUCUUUUAUUUUUUUUCUUCUCUUCUCUUUCUCUGAUUUUCCCGUGUUCUUGUUUUGUCCGUCGAGAGAAAAUAACAAAAUCGAAGAGAUUCCUCCACCUUCUUUGCUCGAAACCGACGAUCGAAACCGAUGACGACUCUCUUGUCCUCCCGGAGUCUCAUCUUUUCCCACUUGCCUGGUCUUCUCCAUCAGAUCAAAGAUCGAAACUGACGAUCAAAACCGAGGACUCUCUUGUCGUCACGAAGUCUCGUCUCACUUGUCGGGUCUUCUUCAUCUGAUCAAGGAUCGAAACUGGUGACGGACGACGUCUCUCUGGCUUCUCACGGGAAUUCCAUCGCCAUCUCCGCCGAUACCGAGGACGACUCUCUUCUCCUCACAGAGUCUCGUCGUUCCACUUGUGUCGUCUUCUCCGCCAGAUCAAUGAUCGCUACCGAGGACGGAUUCUGUCUGGCUCCUCAUGGAGAUUCCUCCUACUUCAUGUGAGGGUCGAGGACUCUGUCCGUGUUGACGGCGUCUCCUCCGUUGGAGAUAAGUUCACAACUAUUGACAUAUUUCUCCUUUCAAUUCAUGAAUGCAUGUGAUAGUAGUUAAGUUUUGUGUGUCAUUGUAAAGCUUUAGCCUUUGAUCAAAAAUUGUAGGCUGCUUAAAUGUUUAGUGUGCUUGGUGUGAUUGUUUAGUAAAUGAAAGGCGAUUGUUUUCUCUGAUUUUUUAGUUAAUGAAAGGUGAUUGUUUUGUCUGAUUGUUUAGUAAAUCUUGAAACAAGUAUUGAAGAUCAGAGAGGACUGUAUAGUGUCAUGUAUUGUUGCUGAUAUCUCGUUAGAUCUUUCUUUUUAUUUGUCCAAACAAGUUGAUGAAUCAUGUGUCAUGUAUUGGUUAUUUGAGAAUGGUAAUUAAGGUUGUUUAUACAACUGAAAUCAGUAACGUAUAUAAUUAAGUUUGCUUUGGUUUGCGUAGAUAAAUCAUGUGAGGAAGGUAAGAGGAGAAUGAGGAGCCAAAGACAGGCGGGAUGUUGGAGGCAAAGAUAGGUUCAAAAGAGUGUACCCCUGUUGAUGGGACCAGUGAGGAUUGUACUCAGAAGUCACGAAUAUGCUUUGUCUUGAGUUUUGUCUUGUUGUGUCACAAGUUCUUUGAAGUAGCAACAUGUAUUUGUUUGUAUGUGUCACGAGUUCUGUUGUAGUACCAACUUUGUAUUUGUUUGAAUGUGUCACAAGUUGUAUUCAAAACUUCUUGAUCUCUAGAUAAAGCUUUGAUUCACUCUCGUA